rnacentral:rRNA from 1 species
CCUACGGGAGGCAGCAGUGAGGAAUAUUGGUCAAUGGACGCAAGUCUGAACCAGCCAUGCCGCGUGGAGGAUGAAGGCCCUCUGGGUUGUAAACUUCUUUUAUUGGGGAAGAAACCUCUUUUUUCUAAAGGAGCCGACGGUACCCGAUGAAUAAGCACCGGCUAACUCCGUGCCAGCAGCCGCGGUAAUACGGAGGGUGCAAGCGUUAUCCGGAUUUACUGGGUUUAAAGGGUGUGUAGGCGGGCUUUUAAGUCAGUGGUGAAAUCCUGGGGCUCAACCCCAGAACUGCCAUUGAUACUAUUGGUCUUGAAUUUUGUUGAGGUGGGCGGAAUAUAUCAUGUAGCGGUGAAAUGCUUAGAUAUGAUAUAGAACACCGAUUGCGAAGGCAGCUCACUAAGCAAGUAUUGACGCUGAGGCACGAAAGCGUGGGGAUCAAACAG